rnacentral:rRNA from 1 species
UACGUAGGGUGCGAGCGUUAAUCGGAAUUACUGGGCGUAAAGCGUGCGCAGGCGGUUCUGUAAGCCAGAUGGGAAAUCCCCGGGCUUAACCUGGGAAUGGCAUUUGGGACUGCAAGGCUUGAGUGCGGCAGAGGAGACUGGAAUUCCUGGUGUAGCAGUGAAAUGCGUAGAUAUCAGGAGGAACACCGAUGGCGAAGGCAGGUCUCUGGGCUAUAACUGACGCUCAUGCACGAAAGCGUGGGGAGCAAACAGG